UACGAAGGGGGGCUAGCGUUGCUCGGAAUCACUGGGCGUAAAGCGCACGUAGGCGGCUUCUUAAGUCAGGGGUGAAAUCCUGGAGCUCAACUCCAGAACUGCCUUUGAUACUGAGGAGCUUGAGUCCGGGAGAGGUGAGUGGAACUGCGAGUGUAGAGGUGAAAUUCGUAGAUAUUCGCAAGAACACCAGUGGCGAAGGCGGCUCACUGGCCCGGUACUGACGCUGAGGUGCGAAAGCGUGGGGAGCAAACAGGGAGUUAAGAUACC
rnacentral:rRNA from 1 species